rnacentral:rRNA from 1 species
AGUGAACGCUGGCGGUAGGCCUAACACAUGCAAGUCGAACGGCAGCACAGUAAGAGCUUGCUCUUACGGGUGGCGAGUGGCGGACGGGUGAGGAAUACAUCGGAAUCUACUUUUUCGGGGGGGAUAACGUAGGGAAACUUACGCUAAUACCGCAUACGACCUACGGGUGAAAGCAGGGGAUCUUCGGACCUUGCGCGAUUGAAUUAGCCGAUUUCGGAUUAGCUAGUUGGCGGGGUAAGGGCUCACCAAGGCGACGAUCCGUAGCUGAUCUGAGAGGAUGAUCGGCCAAACUGGAACUGAGACACGGUCCAGACUCCUCCGGGAGGCAGCAGUAGGGAAUCUUCCGGAAGGGGCGAAAGCCUGACGGAGCAACGCAGCGUGAGUGAUGAAGGUCGUCGGAUCGUAAAACUCUGUUAUUAGGGAAGAACAAAUGUGUAAGUAACUAUGCACGUCUUGACGGUACCUAAUCAGAAAGCCACGGCUAACUACAU